UACGAGGGGGGCGAGCGUUGUUCGGAAUUAUUGGGCGUAAAGGGUGCGUAGGCGGUUUGGUAAGUCUUGUGUGAAAUCUACAGGCUCAACUUGUAGUCUGCACGAGAAACUGCCGGGCUUGAGUGUGGGAGAGGUGAGUGGAAUUCCUGGUGUAGCGGUGAAAUGCGUAGAUAUCAGGAGGAACACCUGUGGCGAAAGCGGCUCACUGGACCAUAACUGACGCUGAUGCACGAAAGCGUGGGUAGCAAACAGG
rnacentral:rRNA from 1 species